rnacentral:rRNA from 1 species
AGUGAACGCUGGCGGUAGGCCUAACACAUGCAAGUCGAACGGUAGCACAGUAAGAGCUUGCUCUUACGGGUGGCGAGUGGCGGACGGGUGAGGAAUACAUCGGAAUCUACUUUUUCGUGGGGGAUAACGUAGGGAAACUUACGCUAAUACCGCAUACGACCUACGGGUGAAAGCAGGGGAUCUUCGGACCUUGCGCGAUUGAAUGAGCCGAUGUCGGAUUAGCUAGUUGGCGGGGUAAAGGCCCACCAAGGCGACGAUCCGUAGCUGGUCUGAGAGGAUGAUCAGCCACACUGGAGCUGAGACACGGUCCAGACUCCUACGGGAGGCAGCAGUGGGGAAUAUUGGACAAUGGGCGCAAGCCUGAUCCAGCCAUACCGCGUGGGUGAAGAAGGCCUUCGGGUUGUAAAGCCCUUUUGUUGGGAAAGAAAAGCAGCAGGUUAAUACCCCGCUGUUCUGACGGUACCCAAAGAAUAAGCACCGGCUAACUUCGUG